AAUAGAUACCCCGGUAGUCCACGCCGUAAACGGUGGGUACUAGGUGUGGGUUUCCUUCCUUGGGAUCCGUGCCGUAGCUAACGCAUUAAGUACCCCGCCUGGGGAGUACGGCCGCAAGGCUAAAACUCAAAGGAAUUGACGGGGACCCGCACAAGCGGCGGAGCAUGUGGAUUAAUUCGAUGCAACGCGAAGAACCUUACCUGGGUUUGACAUGCACAGGACGCUGGUAGAGAUAUCAGUUCCCUUGUGGUCUGUGUGCAGGUGGUGCAUGGCUGUCGUCAGCUCGUGUCGUGAGAUGUUGGGUUAAGUCCCGCAACGAGCGCAACCCUUGUCUCAUGUUGCCAGCACGUGAUGGUGGGGACUCGUGAGAGACUGCCGGGGUCAACUCGGAGGAAGGUGGGGAUGACGUCAAGUCAUCAUGCCCCUUAUGUCCAGGGCUUCACACAUGCUACAAUGGCCGGUACAAAGGGCUGCGAUGCCGUGAGGUUAAGCGAAUCCUUUAAAGCCGGUCUCAGUUCGGAUCGGGGU
rnacentral:rRNA from 1 species